rnacentral:rRNA from 1 species
CAGCCGCCGCGGCAAUACCGGCGGCCCGAGUGGCGGCUACUAUUAUUGGGCCUAAAGCGUCCGUAGCCGGGCUGGGAAGUCCUCCGGGAAAUCUGGUCGCUUAACGAUCAGACUUCCGGAGGAUACUGCUGGCCUAGGGAACGGGAGAGGCCGAGGGGAUUCCCGGGGUAGGGGUGAAAUCCUGUAAUCCCGGGAGGUCCACCUGUGGCGAAGGCGCUCGGCUGGAACGGGUCCGACGGUGAGGGACGAAGGCCAGGGGAGCGAACCGGAUUAGAUACCCGGGUAGUCCUGGCUGUAAACGAUGCGGACUAGGUGUCGGGCAAGCUAAGGGCUUGUCCGGUGCCGCAGGGAAGCCGUUAAGUCCGCCGCCUGGGGAGUACGGCCGCAAGGCUGAAACUUAAAGGAAUUGGCGGG